rnacentral:snRNA from 1 species
AUCGCUUCUCGGCCUUUUGGCUAAGAUCAAGUGUAGUAUCUGUUCUUAUCAGUUUAAUAAAAAUGAGUUUAAAUUUGCACCUUUUUGCUGAGAUAGUGUGGAGAUAAGGAAGAAUUAUAUCAUCAACAAUAUCAAGCUAUCUCUU